AGUUCUUGAUUUCGUCGCAGAUCACGUCAUCGCACAACACGUUGCCGUUGUCGCAGACACAGAUCUGGCAGGGCACGGGUUUCCACACGUCUCGGUCAUGGUACCUGAGGCCGUUCUGUACGCAGGUCUGGAGGUGGGGUCCACACCGGGCAACAAUCCCGGUCUUCCCGCUCCGGCUCCUGCGCGGGGAAGCGCUGGAUAAGGAGGCGCACUGCCCAGUGUAGAUCAGCAGAGGGCGCAAGGACUCUGCCUGACCAAGUCCGCGCCGAAGAAUCUCUUCCUUCAACCCGCCCACGCUCCACGCCCCCUCCCCCGCUCCGCCCAGCACCUCCGCGGACCCAGGAACAUUGUCUAGCCUGCAGAGAGGGUAAACAGUCUUUCCUUAUGAAUCAUC